AGUGGCAGACGGGUGAGUAAUGUAUAGGAAUCUACCUAGUAGUACGGAAUAAUUGUUGGAAACGGCAACUAAUACCGUAUACGCCCUACGGGGGAAAAAUUUAUUGCUAUUAGAUGAGCCUAUAUUAGAUUAGUUAGUUGGUGAGGUAAAGGCUUACCAAGACAAUGAUCUAUAGCUGAUCUGAGAGGAUGAUCAGCCACACUGGAACUGAGAUACGGUCCAGACUCCUACGGGAGGCAGCAGUGGGGAAUAUUGGACAAUGGGCGAAAGCCUGAUCCAGCCAUGCCGCAUGAGUGAAGAAGGCCUUCGGGUUGUAAAGCUCUUUUAGUGAGGAAGAUAAUGACGGUACUCACAGAAGAAGUCCUGGCUAACUCCGUGCCAGCAGCCGCGGUAAUACGGAGAGGGCUAGCGUUAUUCGGAAUCAUUGGGCGUAAAGGGCGCGUAGGCGGGUUAGUAAGUUAAAAGUGAAAUCCCAAGGCUCAACCUUGGAACUGCUUUUAAAACUGCUAGUCUAGAGAUUGAAAGAGGAUAGAGGAAUUCCUAGUGUAGAGAUGAAAUUCGUAAAUAUUAGGAGGAACACCAGUGGCGAANGCGNNUAU
rnacentral:rRNA from 1 species